rnacentral:rRNA from 1 species
UACGUAGGGUGCGAGCGUUGUCCGGAAUUACUGGGCGUAAAGAGCUCGUAGGCGGUGUGUCGCGUCGGCCGUGAAAACCUGCAGCUUAACUGUGGGCUUGCGGUCGAUACGGGCAUCACUGGAGUUCGGCAGGGGAGACUGGAAUUCCUGGUGUAGCGGUGAAAUGCGCAGAUAUCAGGAGGAACACCGGUGGCGAAGGCGGCGCUCUGGGCCGGAACUGACGCUGAGGAGCGAAAGCGUGGGGAGCAAACAGG